rnacentral:rRNA from 1 species
AUACGGAGGAUCCGAGCGUUAUCCGGAUUUAUUGGGUUUAAAGGGUGCGCAGGCGGGAGAUUAAGUCGGCGGUGAAAUUUUUCAGCUCAACUGUAAAAAGGCCUUCGAAACUGGGUUCCUUGAGUGUAGAUGAAGUAGGCGGAAUUUGUGGUGUAGCGGUGAAAUGCAUAGAUAUCACGAGGAACUCCGAUUGCGCAGGCAGCUUACUAAACUACUACUGACGCUCAGGCACGAAGGCGUGGGGAUCAAACAGGAUUAGAUACCCUGGUAGUCCACGCAGUAAACGAUGAUUACUAGCUGUUUGCGAUACAAUGUAAGCGGCUGAGCGAAAGCGUUAAGUAAUCCACCUGGGGAGUACGUUCGCAAGAAUGAAACUCAAAGGAAUUGACGGGG